UACAGAGGUCUCAAGCGUUGUUCGGAUUCAUUGGGCGUAAAGGGUGCGUAGGUGUCGCUGUAAGUCGGGUGUGAAAUUUCGGAGCUCAACUCCGAAACUGCAUUCGAUACUGCGGUGCUUGAGGACUGGAGAGGAGACUGGAAUUCAUGGUGUAGCAGUGAAAUGCGUAGAGAUCAUGAGGAAGACCAGUGGCGAAGGCGGGUCUCUGGACAGUUCCUGACACUGAGGCACGAAGGCCAGGGGAGCAAACGGG
rnacentral:rRNA from 1 species